rnacentral:rRNA from 1 species
AUUGAACGCUGGCGGCAUGCCUUACACAUGCAAGUCGAACGGCAGCACGGGAGCAAUCCUGGUGGCGAGUGGCGAACGGGUGAGUAAUAUAUCGGAACGUGCCCAGUAAUGGGGGAUAGCCCGGCGAAAGCCGGAUUAAUACGGCAUACGACCUACGGGUGAAAGCGGGGGAUCGCAAGACCUCGCGUUAUUGGAGCGGCCGAUAUCAGAUUAGCUUGUUGGCGGGGUAAAAGCCCACCAAGGCGACGAUCUGUAGCUGGUCUGAGAGGACGACCAGCCACACUGGGACUGGGACACGGCCCAGACUCCUACGGGAGGCAGCAGUGGGGAAUUUUGGACAAUGGGCGCAAGCCUGAUCCAGCCAUGCCGCGUGUGGGAAGAAGGCCUUCGGGUUGUAAACCACUUUUGUCAGGGAAGAAACGGCUCUUACUAAUAUUGGGAGCUAAUGACGGUACCUGAAGAAUAAGCACCGGCUAACUACGUG